AUUGAACGCUGGCGGCAGGCCUAACACAUGCAAGUCGAGCGAGCGGCGGACGGGUGAGUAAUGUAUGGGGACUGCCCGAUAGAGGGGGAUAACUACUGGAAACGGUGGCUAAUACCGCUAAAUACCGGUAAACCCAUAUGGGAUUAGCUGGUAGGUGGGGUAAGGGCGCACCUAGGCGACGAUCCCUAGCUGGUCUGAGAGGAUGAUCAGCCACACUGGGACGGAGACACGGCCCAGACUCCUACGGAGGCAGCAGUGGGGAAUAUUGCACAAGGGGCGCAAGCCUGAUGCAGCCAUGCCGCGUGUAUGAAGAAGGCCUUAGGGUUGUAAAGUACUUUCAGCGGGGAGGCGUUACCCGCAGAAGAAGCACCGGCUAACUCCGUGCCAGCAGCCGCGGUAAUAC
rnacentral:rRNA from 1 species